rnacentral:rRNA from 1 species
ACGAAGGGUGCAAGCGUUACUCGGAAUUACUGGGCGUAAAGCGUGCGUAGGUGGUUUGUUAAGUCCGAUGUGAAAGCCCUGGGCUCAACCUGGGAAUGGCAUUGGAUACUGGCAGGCUAGAGUGCGGUAGAGGGGUGUGGAAUUCCCGGUGUAGCAGUGAAAUGCGUAGAUAUCGGGAGGAACAUCUGUGGCGAAGGCGACACCCUGGACCAGCACUGACACUGAGGCACGAAAGCGUGGGGAGCAAACAGGA